ensembl:snoRNA
UUUCUGUGAAGAUACCAUGUCCAGUUCUGCUACUGAAUGCUUGUGACGAUAUUCGUGACUCUGAGAAA